AAGGGGUCAUAGAAUGCAAAACCGAGUUUACUUUGUCAUAGAUGAAUAGUGAUAGUUCAGUGGGUGAAAUGGACAUACAGAGAACUUCAAAACCCCACCGACACCUCCUUCCUGGAGCGAAGAUGAGACAAACACUAGUUUAGCUGCCUGCUCGUUUACUUCCACAGGAAUCCUUGAAGCAGAGAGUUCUUCAAGGAUAUCGAAAAUGAUGCACGGUCGUAAAUGCAGUGUUCCAGGUUGAAACUUAGGCUACAAAGAAAGCUGAGACUUUCCAUAGUCUUCCCAAGGAUUCAAAAGUUCGAGGGGCAUGGAUAAUGUUUUUCUACCAGAAGAAGAUCCCUGCAAAGUUCGACACUCUGUUAUUAAUUUGCAAAACAUUUCACCGAAGGCAGUUUUCAAAACCUUGUACAGUUAAGCAGGAUUUGCUAAGCUGCUGUUACUGAAACGAGGGGCUGUUCCGACCGUAAGGUCAUCACAACCGCAUGCUGUUUUAUCUAGCAGCCAUGCACUUCAAUGAGAAUGCGGAGUCCCCACAACAGAAGACCGCCAAGGAGAAACUAUGUACAAACUUGCCAAAUUUAUCAUCAAAGACCCUCUUCCUUACUGGGAUGCCGUCCAGCGGAUUCCUGUGCCCCAGGACUUGUGUGCUCAGCUAGACAGACCUUCCAUGGAGGAUGCUGUUGCUGAACAUGUAUCAUUUUGUGGUGUUGAUCAAACUGUG